rnacentral:rRNA from 1 species
GACAGCAGCCAUAUCACCCUGCAGCCCAAGACUGGUUGCCCCCUGAAGCUAAGCAGGGUUGAGCCUGGUCAGUACCUGGAUGGGAGACCUCCUGGGAAAACUAGGUUGCUGCUGGAA